rnacentral:rRNA from 1 species
GAUGAACGCUGGCGGCGUGCUUAACACAUGCAAGUCGAACGGUGAAGCCCAGCUUGCUGGGUGGAUCAGUGGCGAACGGGUGAGUAACACGUGAGCAAUCUGCCCCUGACUCUGGGAUAAGCGCUGGAAACGGCGUCUAAUACUGGAUACGAGCUGCGAUCGCAUGGUCAGUAGCUGGAAAGAUUUUUUGGUCAGGGAUGAGCUCGCGGCCUAUCAGCUUGUUGGUGAGGUAAUGGCUCACCAAGGCGUCGACGGGUAGCCGGCCUGAGAGGGUGACCGGCCACACUGGGACUGAGACACGGCCCAGACUCCUACGGGAGGCAGCAGUGGGGAAUAUUGCACAAUGGGCGCAAGCCUGAUGCAGCAACGCCGCGUGAGGGAUGACGGCCCUUUCGGGUUGUAAACCUCUUUUAA